AUGAACGCUGGCGGCGUGCCUAAUACAUGCAAGUCGAGCGAACAGACGAGGAGCUUGCUCCUCUGACGUUAGCGGCGGACGGGUGAGUAACACGUGGAUAACCUACCUAUAAGACUGGGAUAACUUCGGGAAACCGGAGCUAAUACCGGAUAAUAUAUUGAACCGCAUGGUUCAAUAGUGAAAGACGGUUUUGCUGUCACUUAUAGAUGGAUCCGCGCCGCAUUAGCUAGUUGGUAAGGUAACGGCUUACCAAGGCAACGAUGCGUAGCCGACCUGAGAGGGUGAUCGGCCACACUGGAACUGAGACACGGUCCAGACUCCUACGGGAGGCAGCAGUAGGGAAUCUUCCGCAAUGGGCGAAAGCUUGACGGAGCAACGCCGCGUGAGUGAUGAAGGUCUUCGGAUCGUAAAACUUUGUUAUUAGGGAAGAACAAAUGUGUAAGUAACUAUGCACGUCUUGACGGUACCUAAUCAGAAAGCCACGGCUAACUACGUG
rnacentral:rRNA from 1 species